UACAACAUUUAGACCACAAGCUUGUUUGACAAAAGGAAACAUAUAGAUCACUUCAUAAUCGGGAAAUUUCGUGGAGACAAUUUCCACUUUUUGCUUUUCCUCAUUUUUAUUCGCAACAUGACUUAAUGUUUUAAUAUUCGAAUAUCUAACACUGUUUGAAACACGAUAUAAAAAUCGUUCGCAAAGAUUCGACAAGAGUCGGGAAUACAUUUACGUAUACACGUAAUGUAUAUUAUAGUAUUUCCCUAGUUUUUGUUUAUGUUUCUUUUCAAGAAUAAAGGAGGUUAGAUAUCUUGGGCCGCUCUCACUCUCAACUUUGACCAUUUCGACGGCCGAUUAAAUAUUGCCAACUGCAAGACUUAAAAACAUUAUUUUCUGAUGGGGCGUCAAAUAUGUUCACAUGUUCGAUUCGUAUGGUUUUUUCAUGAUUGAGAAAUUUAUAAUUAAUAAGAACCUGUGCAGCCUGUGCUAUUAUUAUCACAUUGUCUUCACAGCCGCCAGAAAAUUAAGUUAUGUUUUCAAUCUUGUAGUCAUUUGUGCAUUACUAAAAAUGAAUUUUAUUAAAAUAUUAAAAAAUGAAAAGAGUGAAGCAACUUAUUGAAAUCGAUUCUACUUAAGUGAAAAUAAUGCAAGGCCUCCAGACAUCAGGAUCUUCCAUGAGAGUAGUAUGGUGAUCUGCAGUAGGAGGCACUGUACCUUGUGGGGAACCCACGCCCGACGUCCUUCCUGCUGGGUCGGGCCUGGAUCCUCUGUUAUUAUGUUACAAAUUAGUAAACAUUUUGUAAAGAGAUCAUAUCGAGAACAAGAUAAAAUUACUUUACAUCACGCAUGUUUUACAUUAAUUCUAUGAAGAGUUAUAUUGUGAUGACCGUUACAUACAAUUAGAAAUAAACCAUUAAUUUUUUCAA